rnacentral:tRNA from 3 species
GGGUCGUUAACUCAGGCGGUAGAGUACCUGCCUUUUAAGCAGAGAGUCGCAGGUUCGAAUCCUGCACGACCCACCA